rnacentral:misc_RNA from 1 species
UGGAGAAGGCCAUCACCACG